rnacentral:rRNA from 1 species
GACGAACGCUGGCGGCGUGCCUAAUACAUGCAAGUCGAACGCAGUGGGGACGGGUGAGUAACACGUGGGUAACCUCCCAUCAGAGGGGAUAACCCUUGGAAACUGGUGCUAAACCGAUACUGAUGUAUGGACCCGCGGUGCAUUAGCUAGUUGGUGAGGUAACGGCUCACCAAGGCGACGAUGCAUAGCCGACCGGAGAGGGUGAUCGGCCACACUGGGACGGAGACACGGCCCAGACUCCUCCGGGAGGCAGCAGUAGGGAAUCGUGGGCAAUGGACGAAAGUCUGACCGAGCAACGCCGCGUGAGUGAAGAAGGUUUUCGGAUCGUAAAACUCUGUUGUUAGAGAAGCGGUAUCUAACCAGAAAGCCACGGCUAACUACGGGCCAGCCGCCGCGGUAAUUC